UCACACCGAGGUACUUUGGUAUUUGGGUC
rnacentral:piRNA from 1 species